CUAAGUCCUAAGAUACAGAGUAGUAGGCUUUAUUUAUGGUGCAGAAAGUUGGCGGAUGAUGCGAGCCAGCCCUUAAAUCCGCUGAACUCACUGUGGAGGAUCAGCUAUGAAUUAGUAAUAGCUGACGCUUGAUUAGUGUUAACAAUCAUUGAGAGGAUGGCAACAGCUGUCAAUCAGGGUGGUAUCGCGGGUGUAUAUAACUCGUCCCUGGC
rnacentral:ncRNA from 1 species